ensembl:processed_transcript
AUUUCCCCGGGCGUGAGAGCGCGGACUGGAAGCUGGGUGUUCAAAGGGUGUGAGAAGGGACCAAGACCCGCAUCUUCUGGGCAAAGUUUUCGGGGAGAUGAAAGGAGAGAGGGUCGGGACUGAGUUGCUGGUCUUGGGGACAGAGCAGCCGGAGCUGCGCACCAAGGCUUAGAGUCGGGCGGGAGAUGCGGGGAGAGGGAGGGGGCGGGGAGGGAGGGGAGGGAGAGAGGAGGAAGGGGUGAGAGGGAGAAACCUGCCGCGGCUCUCCGCCUCUUUGUCUGCUCUGGGACUUGGAACAAAAGGGGAAAACUCUGAUGAACUCCUUCUCCCGCUCCCUGGACGCCCGAGUAUCUCUUUCUCGCAACUUUGUCAACGCGACUUUCUCCGCUGUCAGGCUGCGCAAAAGUAUCCUAGCGCCUCGCAGGCUGCAACAAUGGAAACAAUGUCCCUUCAAAGUGCGACGAAGUGGAGGGAGAAGGUGUCAUACCAGCGACUCCAAGAGUCAUGUCACCCACUUAGCAGGAGUACUUCUACUGAAAUGCCUUCGAAUUACUCUUACUGGAUAUAUACCUACCAGCCGCUAGCAUGAAGAUGCCAGGACCGCUGCAAGUUAGCACUGGACAAAGUAGCAUCAACUUCUUCAUUUAGAGUUUCUUCAGUUAAAUUGCUGGGAUUUUCGACAAGGCUUUCCUUAUGUGGAUUAUUGGAGUGUGAUGCCUGAGAAUUCUCUACUUGUAGAAGCACGCCCACGGGACUGCAGAAGCCUUCACACCCACCCAGCACGCUCAGGGUUGAUGGCCUAACACUAGCUUAACACUCAUGUCGGCUGCACUAAUUGAAGUCACAUCCAAGUGGGUCAAUGCACUGAACAUAUCUGAUAUAGAAGGUCCCAGAUCCUGAAUUUUUAUCAAUGGUUUGCUGUAUAAGGCUUGCCUCCCAAAUAGCUGAGGACCCUUAUUUGGGAAGAUACGUUCUGAUGGUUAAGCAACAGCACAGAUGUCGAUGGGAAUGAGUGAUGGCCAUCCAGUGACCAGCUGGAUCUGACUGCCUUACAAGACGCAUGUGUAUGAUUAAGAGAGAGACAUUCGUGACUCCCAGAUGUACCUCCUUCCUGUCCCACAGUGUUCCUGAAGGGAGUGAGUUAUGGGGUAACUUAUAACACAGCAGGCUCUUCCUCAAGAUAGCUCUUGUCAAAACAGGAAGACGAAACUCGGGUUUCCAUGAGGAGACCACAGCUUGGGAUCCUGUCUGGAUGUACAAGCAGAAGCAUCUUCAUACUUUUCCAUUUCUAACCGUCAUGCCUCACCCCACCCUCCCAAGGCGACAUCUGCAGAGAGGUGGAACCAUCUAGGGAGGCCUGCCACUGUUUGCUGAGCUCCGGGUGAGGAUGAAGACACUUUGACAUGGCCAGCUUCAGACUCGGGAUCUGUCGGUGUUAGCAGCCGAAGGAGAAUGAGGAGGAAGAGGAGGAGAAAGAGGAGGAGGAAGUAAGACAGAGGGGGACAAGAGGACCAAGAGGGCACAUGGCUGAGGAGGAGGAGAACAACAACAACAACAACAACAACAACAACAACAACAACAACAAGAAGCUUGGUGGUGAAACUUGGAAGCCCUCUCCAGGAUGCAGCAGGUAGCUGAGGAGAAAACGAAGACUGACCAGCCCAGAGCUCAGAGCUUCCUCCCAUGCUCAGGAUUUACCACCAAUGCCAUUACAUCGGCCUCUUCUUGUAUGCCUCUGGAAACCACAUGUGUCCUCUGUUUGUAAUGGUUUGGCUAUGGUUGCUGGCCCCUCUUGGACAUUGUUUUCAGAACUUAAAGAAACAUUGCUUUAAAGAUUUAUUAGAACAUAUUUAAAAUAAAACCAUCUUCUCAUUUAGUAU